AUUGAACGCUGGCGGCAUGCUUUACACAUGCAAGUCGAACGGUAACAGGCCGCAAGGUGCUGACGAGUGGCGAACGGGUGAGUAAUGCAUCGGAACGUGCCCAGUCGUGGGGGAUAACGCAGCGAAAGCUGUGCUAAUACCGCAUACGAGCUGUGGAUGAAAGCGGGGGACCGAAAGGCCUCGCGCGAUUGGAGCGGCCGAUGUCAGGUUAGGUAGUUGGUGGGGUAAAGGCUCACCAAGCCAACGAUCUGUAGCUGGUAGGAGAGGACGACCAGCCAAGAUGGGACUGAGACACGGCCCAGACUCCUAAGGGAGGCAGCGGUGGUGAGUUUUGGACAAUGGGCACAAGCCUGAUCCAGCAAUGCAGAGUGCAGGAAGAAGGCCUUCGGGUUGUAAACUGCUUUUGUACGGAGCGAAAAGGCUCUCUCUAAUACAGGGGGCUCAUGACGGUACCGUAAGAAUAAGCACCGGCUAACUACGUGCCAGCAGCCGCCGUAACAC
rnacentral:rRNA from 1 species